GAGAAAAAGCUAAGGAGCUCAAAAUUUUGAGGUACUAUAAAUAAUUGGGGAAAGCAUUCGCUGUUUGCAGGGAAUGCUUGUUCCCUAUUAUUUUAUUUUUUUUCUCUUUGAAUGUUUUUCUCCUCUUUUGCAGAGGUUUUCUUCCUUCUAUCAUUGUCCUAUUUUUCCCUCUCGACAGAUUUUUCGCUAUUGUAUUUCUCUGUAAUUCUUCCUUUUCAUUUGAUAUUUUUUUUCUCUAUUGUAGUUUCGUUUCAGCGUGCACGCUGGUCAUAUUUAUUUUGUUUUUCUGUGCACUUUAAUCUUGUGUUGUGUUUCUUUGUCCCCUGUAUUUUGGUGUGAUCUUGUCUAUGGUGGAAGCUAAAGAAGAGAUAGAGAAGAGGCAGCGGCAGCAGAGGAAUGAGAACAGACAGAAUCCAUCUUCCAGUCUUUAACGAAGAUUCCAACAAGUGUAGUAUGUACUGAUUUGCAGAGAGUUUAUUAAAUAAUAAAUUUUCCCUUGA